GAUGAACGCUGGCGGCGUGCCUAAUACAUGCAAGUCGAGCGAACGGACGAGAAGCUUGCUUUUCUGAUGUUAGCGGCGGACGGGUGAGUAACACGUGGAUAACCUACCUAUAAGACUGGGAUAACUUCGGGAAACCGGAGCUAAUACCGGAUAAUAUUUUGAACCGCAUGGUUCAAAAGUGAAAGACGGUCUUGCUGUCACUUAUAGAUGGAUCCGCGCUGCAUUAGCUAGUUGGUAAGGUAACGGCUUACCAAGGCAACGAUGCAUAGCCGACCUGAGAGGGUGAUCGCCACACUGGAACUGAGACACGGUCCAGACUCCUACGGGAGACAGCAGUAGGGAAUCUUCCGCAAUGGGCGAAAGCCUGACGGAGCAACGCCGCGUGAGUGAUGAAGGUCUUCGGAUCGUAAAACUCUGUUAUUAGGGAAGAACAUAUGUGUAAGUAACUGUGCACAUCUUGACGGUACCUAAUCAGAAAGCCACGGCUAACUACGUG
rnacentral:rRNA from 1 species